GGCGGUAUAGCCAAGAGGACUAAGGCGAAGGAUUGCAACUCCUUCAUCGCUGGUUCGAAUCCAGCUACCGCCUCCA
rnacentral:tRNA from 1 species